GGACAAUGACUCUGCUUGGGAGAGCAUCUGCUUGGCAUGCAGAAGGUCCCAGGUUCAAUCCCUGCCAUCUCCA
rnacentral:tRNA from 1 species